CAACCACUCAAGCCCCGCUUGGUGUUGGGGCCCUAUAGCACCUAUAGGCCCUGAAAUCUAGUGGCGGGCACGCCGGGGCCCCGAGCGCAGUAGCUAUACCACCGCUCCGGGACCCCUGUGGGCUCCGGCCGUUAAACCUCCCGCCCGCGGGACUGCUA
rnacentral:misc_RNA from 1 species